ACCGGUUUGUUCCUAAAUCGAAGGAUUGUUCUCCGGUUUGUUUUCAUCGCAUCAAUCGGCUUCUAAUCCAAGUCUAAACCGCACACAGCUUCAUCGGAUUACUUGAGCGGAUUUUCACAAGCCUUGAGUGGUUUAAGCUAAACCGCACAAUCAUCGUGAUCGGAUUAUAAAUCGCACAACUCAACAGGUUUGUUGUUUCUUUUCAAUUUCAUCUUAAGGUUUUAGUUUGAGCGGUUUAUACCUAAACCGAUCAUCUCUUGAGCGGACUAAUGACCGGAUAGAUAAUCGUUUGGCUUAAUCGAAAGGUUCAGUUUUGAUCUAAAUCGAUCAAUACUGUAAACAGAUUGUGACCAGUCUUGAUCUUAAUCGAUGAACACAAUAAGGAGAUUUGCACAAAUUGCUACUGUUUAACAGGUUUCUAGGCUGUUUGAUUUUGAGGAUCUGUAAAAUCGUUCAUCCCCUGUUCAGAUUUGGUCUAAAUCGUUUGCUACUGUUUCUUGAUCUAAUUUGGUAAAUUGCUCAGGUUACUGUAUUGAUUUGAUGCAGCAGCAACAUUUCAACGACUCUGAAAGCCUGAUGAUAUUUUUGGAUAUAGAUAUAAGUUGUUUGGCAUCUUGAUUGCUGUUGGUGAGGCUGUUGCCUAUGUUAAGACUGUAAUAGCAAUUCAAUUACAGGUAAGAACUAACAACCUGUUUUUCAUCCUUUUUGCUUGCAAUUGCAUAGAAGGUAAGGACUAACAAUUUUUUUUUGUGCUUUGAGCAAUUCAAAAUCUGUUUUUGAGUUCCAUCUUGCUGUUUCUUUGAGGAAUGGUAUAACAGCCCAGGUGGGACAAAGUGAAAAGAGUGCAGUUUUGAAGCCGUUGCUGUUUGAUUUUGAGAUUCUGGAAGUGUAAAGCCCGUAGGCACAAACUGGUGUAUUUGUUUGUCUUGUGGGAAGGUUGUGUGUGAACAAGAAGAGAGGGCUGUAGAUUUGUGAGGAACUAAUGCAGGACUGUAACAGAAGCAAAACUUGACUUGGCUGUUUAAGCGAUACACAGCAGGGCUGAAACAGCAGCUAACACAUUCACAAAGAAGAGUGAAUUUGUUACUAAUUAUUGACCUGAGUUUAAACACACAGGUGGGACAAAGCUGUUUGUUCCUGCUGUUUCUUCAAGGUUUUGUAGUUACUUGGUACAAGAUUGACUGUCAAUUUUGGUGCAGGAACCUGUUAAGCUGUGUGUUUUAAGCAGAUUUGAUAGUAUUCUUAAACUGUUUGAUUUGGAUCAUUUUGAGAGCUUCUAUUAGCUACACAGUUUUUUUGAAGCUGUUGGUGUGGAGACUGCAGCAGCAACAACAACAUUGGACAGCUAUUUGUAACAGCAAGUACUAUAGAAGGUUUCUGUUUAUGUGUUUACAAUUUGAGGACUGAAAAAAGCAGCUUCAUUUUGGUAAUAGCACAGUUUUAAAUUGAUUUAAUCUGAACUGUUUUUAGUUGUUUGCUCUUGCUGUUUCUUUAAAGAUUUGAGGCUUAAAAUGUAUUUUAAUGUUGUUUGUAUAGCAGACUGCUAGCUUUGAGUAGUCUUGAGUGUUGAAUCAAUUGCUGUUUUGAUUGAGUUUGAGCAUUAGUGAAGAAACACAGAUUGUUGAGCUUCAUGUGAAACACAGAUUGUUGAGUGACUUGAGCAAGUUUAGUUAUACAGAAGCAAUUUAUACAGUAGCAGCUCAGCACCAAUCCAAGAUGCAAAUGGUUUAAGCAUACAGAGUGGAAAGCAGUUUCAUUUUGAUUGUAAUAACAGCAGCAGCAAUAACAGUGGAUAGCUUGGUGCUGUUCAACAGACUUCAAGUAGCUACACAGAUUAAUCAAAGAAUUCCUUUCAACAUCAAUCAGUUGAAUUGAUCAAGCAUUUCAUUUGGUGUAAUCAUACCAAGGAAUUCUGUUUUUGGGUCAUAUGUACUUGAACUGUUUUGUGUAAU